AGCCAAGCGCCCUCCACCUUCUCCUGACAGCGGCUCUGAGCUCUCUCAGCAGCUGAACCUGAUGCUUCACACUGAACUAAGUCUGUGGACACGUUGGGGAAUCAAGCAGACUUCAGUGCAUAACUCGGGAACGUGUCAGUUAAAAAUCAUUAGCGGUGUGGGGAGUUACACAUGACAUGUUGAAGGACAAAAGUCAACAAUCUCUGCAGAAAGUUUUAUUCUAAUUUAAAGAUCUGUAUUUUUAAAAAUGUUCAUGAUUUAAAAAAUAUAUAUAUAUUUUUAGAUUUAUAAUUUUUUCCAAUUAUUUAUGUAUUAUUUAUUUUUAUGAUUGUUUAAAGCUCUGGAAAUGGAGACUUCUCCCUGUUGGUAAAAUCUGUCUUUGGAAAAUGAACGCUGAGUUAAAAGGGAGGGAAUUUCAUUUAUUUGGCCUUGUUUAAAGAGAGGGAUCUGAAAAUCACACACACACACACACACACACACACACACACACACACACACACACACACACACACUCUGUGAAACAAGUUGUGUGGUUGAAGGUUCCAGAUUGUUUUAGGUCGUACUAGUUCUUCUGACCCACUCAUAGUGUGCAGCAUGUGUGUUCAGGGGCUGCUGCUGAAUUGGUGUAGAAUCAGGUUUAAUGUGCUGAAUAGUUUUCAUGCCCUGUAAGACGUCAUCUUGAUUUGUCAUAACGUGGUUGAAGGCUUCUGUUCUUUUUCUCUCUAUGUGACCAUAUUUGCACAAGUUAUGCUCAAGAAAUGUUGACAUGAUUUGCUGGGAAAUGGUUUUAAUCUGUGGCAGAUUCCCCCAGCCCUAGUGGUGGUGGGGGGAGUUGCAGCCCUGACAAUGCUUGGCUAGUCAGCUACGUUACAUCAAUAUAUUAAACAUAUUUAUCAAAACAACUACUUGUCCUGUCUCUAU